rnacentral:misc_RNA from 1 species
UACAGAGGCCCCGAGCAUUAUCCGGAAUCACUGGGCGUAAAGGGUGUGUAGGCGGCAGUAUUAGUCCUUCGUGAAAGAUCUUCGGCUUAACCGAGGAGGCGCGGGGGAAACGGUACUGCUAGAGGAUGCGAGAGGUAAAGGGAACUCAAGGUGUAGGGGUGAAAUCCGUUGAUAUCUUGGGGAACACUAAAUGCGAAGGCACUUUACUGGCGCACUCCUGACGCUGAAACACGAAAGCGUGGGUAGCGAACGGG